AUUAAACUAUUACAAACACCGCAUUCACAUUUUAACAAUGCAGAUAAAGACAAACGUUGAAUAAAAGUUACUUAUCUGAGAUAAAAAAAAGGAUUCAAAGCUCACCAUGGUGAUUGUACGCUAGGUGACAGCAUGAUACAAUGAAAAGAUCACUAGAUUUGGAGUCAAAAGGACCUAGAUUCAAAUCCCAGGCAUGCUUGCUACUACCUGUAUCAUUUUUAGCAAGUUCCUUAAGUUUCCAGAGCCUAUUUUCUUAUCUGUAAUAAGAAAUGAUUGAUAUCUAAGGUAGCUUCCAUCUCCUACGGUGGAAGUAUUCCUUCUUAGAAUCCUCUUCUAGAUUCAGCUGAGAUGUUCCCUCAUUGUGAAAAUUUUUGUUAUUUUUCUAUUCACAGAAACAAUUGCUCAAUACUUGUUCAUAUUAUCUUGAAGCUUUAUUGUUUCAUGUACAUAACUUAUUCUUCCCCAACUAAAUUGUAAAUUUUUGGGGUUAGAGUGAGCAGAGAUAAUUUCUCCUUUGUUUUUGUUUUUUUUUUUUUUUAUUUUCUCCUGCAUCUAACAAAGUUCUUUGGGUGUGUGUUAGGCCCUUAAUAAGUGUGUUCAGUUCACAUUGUAACCCUGAUAACCAGUAAAAUAAGCAUUGUUAAAAGUUCUGCUAUUUCUUGUAGCAUCAUUAUCUUGAGAUUAGAGACAAUUUCAUUUUUUUUUUCAUCCCCAGUGCUCAGUAGAGUGAGGAGCUUAACAAAUCCUUGCUUAUUAACUUUUCUAAAAGCCAAGUCUGAGGUUCAUGUUUGGUUUGAAAGAGCAAGAACACUUAGCUUAUGUGAUCUUGUAAUCCUUUUUCAUGUACCACCAGAAGAAGAAGGUGGAUGAAUAAACAUAGAUGCCCAGAUAAUUUGAGGCUAUCUCUGGGUCAUUCAGGUAUCCUAUCUGGAAGAUCCUUUGUGAUGUACUAUGUGUAAGCAAAAGUACUCAUGUAGUCAGGAACCUUUUGCUUGAAUCACACCCAAAGGUUGAGAAAUCUUGCAUGCUAAUGCUGGUCCCUAUGGAGUCACAAACCCAUAGAACUUGUGAGUGUAAAGAGUUCUCAGAAGUCUUGAUGAUUCUAGCAUUUCAAUAUAAAGAUGAUGUAAGUUUCAGCAGAUAUGUAGCAUCUGAUUCAUAUAGUUUUGUACCUCUAGGAAAUGGUACAUGAGAAGAUACUUCACCACACUGAGCAGAACUAGAGCCAGAUUCAGUGUUCGUACUAGUGAGUGUAUCUGUAUCAGCCUAAAAAAGCAUUAAAAUAUAUUCCUUGAGUGAUAUAUCUGACUGCAGUGAACAUCUAGAAUAUGAAGAAAAAAUCAUUUUUGGACUUAUUGGAAAGACUUUCCUGUUCAUUGAUGCUAGGCUGGCAUCAUCCAUCUUUAGUGAAUUUCUUCUUCCAUUUAUAAUGACAAAAUUGAAGUCCAAGAAAGAAAAGAGUUACCAAGCCUUAGAGCCAUAACGGACCUUAGAGGCCAUCUACUCCAAUCCCUUUAUUUUGUUUUCAAGGAAACUGAUCCCCAGAGAAGUUAACUAACUUCUAUAAGGUCCUUCAAUUAUUAAAUAUCAGAGGCUGGGUUGGAACCAAGGUCUUCCGGCUUAAAAAUCACUUUGCUUUUUCAUGUACCGUUAUAUAAUGGUGUGAUUUUAAAUGAUACGUACUUAAAAGUCUUUUGCCUGUGGUCUCUUCAUUCAAAAUAAACAGUGGAACAUAAGAUGUCUAGAACUGAAAGGAGAAGAGGAAAAAAUAAGAAUUGCGUGGGAGAGAAGAUGUGAAUUGUGGGAUAUUGUUCCUCUCUAUUGUUCUUCUCUAGCUUAGCAGUUUCCAAUAAUGUGAGACACUUUUAGAAGGUUGAUCCCCAAGAUGAAUUUUCAUUGAAUUCAUGUUUGUAAUAUUCUUCUGGUAAUUCUUUAUAUUUAGAAUAAAGGAAUAUGACACACACACACAAAGAAACAAAGAGAAACAGAAAUGGAGACACAGAGAGAGAGAGAUUGAGAGACACACAGAAACAGAGACGAGAUAGAAUAGUGCAAAAAAAAAGAAAAACCAGAUGGAAAAAAACAAGCUUAAUUCUUUUUAUUUGGUUAGACAUCUUGGAUGCUAAUCCAAAUUCAACUUCAUAGUAGGUAUAUGAUAUGGGGCAAGUCAAGGAUCUGUUCUGAAAUUCAUUUUUCCCUCUAUUAAAUGAGGUUAGAUAAGAUGAUAUUCUUUUCAUAUUUUAAAUUCUAUGAUAUACAAAAAUAAUAGGCAGUAUUUCACUGAUGUUUUAUUCAGAGCUACAUCUUUAAUUUAUUUAAUAAAUUAAUAUAGUUUUU